ensembl:lncRNA
UUCAGAUGUUUUCUGACUCUAAAUGUUCUUUUCUCAUUUCUUAGGUUUUUCUAAUUUACAAUUAAAACAUUUUCAGCUUUUUUCCAACUUCUUCUUCUGUGUAACCUUCAGCUUUUAGCAGUUCAGCACUUUUGUUUUCAGGUUAAAUUUGUUUUUUUUUUUUUUUAUCUCAUUCAAAAUUUUUAACUCAAAAUUCAGCAAUUAAUUCAUUUCAGUGCAUACAUUCAGAUUCAAGCAUUCACACUGCAGUUUCUUCAGAAAAUGCACUUUCUAGUUAUAUUUUAUUUUUCCGUACGUUUUUUGAAAGCCUACUCCUUCAAAACCGUUCAACUUAGAAAAACCAUUCAAACACCGUUAGAUUCCUAUUAUUUUGGACAACAUUGCUUCUAUUUUUCUCAUUUUUAACAUUUAUAUUUUUAAUUUUAUUCAACUUUUUUCAACAAAAAUUUAUAAUGUAUUUCAAUGGGGAGACCCUUCAAAUUCUCAUUCAACUUCCUCCUCUUUAAACUGUAUCUACUUCCACAUACAUUGACAUAGAGCCACCAUUCAAACUUUAAAACGAAGACAAGACAUUCAACUAUUCAACUUGUAUUUAUCUUUUCAAUAUCUAUUAUACUUUUUCUUCAGUUCCAGUUUAAGUUUCAUGAUGUUUUUUCACCCGUUUCAGAGUUUAUAAUGGGUGUGUAUGGGACGGAAUGUUGGGGCUAGAGUGAGAGAGCUCAACUGCUAGAGUGAGAGGAGCAAAAAAAUUAAUCUUAAAAUCUUUUUUAAAACUGCUGCUGUGUCCGCAGCGUUUGCUCUACAGCCACCAUUUUACCCUCAAAACGUAGCCAUCGCUGUCCUCUUUCAUCCAAUGUGUUUACUAUUGUCCUAGGUGUUAUGGUUCUUUCAUAAAUGUCACCAAUGCACAGCCUCCUCCCUCCAACUCUUCCAUAGACUCUAAUGUUAAAAUGGCUCAGAAGGUUCGUUUGAAAAUCAGAAGAGCAUGGUGUCUUUCCACUGUCACCACGUCCAUAUAAUAAACUCCACAGGCAUGAAAACUGAGAAUUCAGUAGACUAGACAUUGCUGUCACUCACGGUGAAAGAAUUUUGUCAAUACGACUUUUACUUUUCAUUUGGGAGCGAUUUGUUUCGGCCUGACUUUUCUGUUCAUUUUAAGCAGCAAAAGUGAGGCGCAUGUCUGUGUACGUGUGUAUGGAGCCAUUGGGUGCAGUCACUAUAGCAACCAGGCUCACACCUGCCUGCUUAACGAGCUCUGCCUGCCACUGUACCAAGAUUCAUCUUAAGCACUUCUCUUUCAACUGCUGCUGUGUCCACAGUGUUACAGCCAUCAUUUUACCCUCAAAUUGUCGCCAUUAUUGUUCUCUUUCCAACACCGUGUCUUUCAAAGCUCAGACAUUUAAACUUUUUAAACUGUGUGGAUCAAAGUGGAGGGAUCACAUUUUCUUCAUUCAGUGAUUCAAAGAAUAUGAACUUUUAAUAUUCAUUCAGAUGUUUUCUGACUCUAAAUGUUCUCUUCUAAAUUCUUAGGGUUUUCUAAUUUACAAUUAAAACAUUUUCAGCUUUUUUCCAACUUCUUCUGUGUAACGUUCAGCUUUUAGCAGUUCAGCACCUUUGUUUUCAGGUUAAAUUCGGGUUUUUUUGGGGUUUUUUUUAAUCUCAUUCAAUAUUUUUAACUCAAAAUUCAGCAAUUAAUUCAUUUCAGUGCAUACAUUCAGAUUCAAGCAUUCACACUGCAGUUUCUUCAGAAAAUGCACUUUCUAGUUGUCAUUGUUACUCGUCAUGGAAAAUUCCAAAUCAAAUCACUUUUAUUGUCACAUCACAUGUGCAGGUACACUGGUACAGUACAUGCGAGUGAAAUUCUUGUGUGCAAGCUUCACAAGCAACAGAGGUGUGUAAAAAUACAAUAACAUAAGAACAAGCAAAAUAUAAGAAUGGGUAAAUCUGUGAAUUAUAUGAAUAAAUAUAUGUACAAUAUAAGAGUGUAUGCGCAUUACUGAAUGUGUAUACUAAAUAUGUAUAUCUACUAGAGAUGGACCGAUCCGAUAUUACGUAUCGGUAUCGGUCCGAUACUGACCUAAAUGACUGGAUCGGAUAUCGGAGAAAAAUAAAAAAUGUAAUCCGAUCCAUUAAAUAUCACGAAAGCACCUCACAAACUUGCAACACGCCGUAACUCACCUCGGUGAUCUGGAUAGCAUGUGGAGCUUCGCUAGCAACCCGGCAUUUCAUCUCCGACAAAGUUAUCCCCGAGAGAAGUAAAGCAAGUGUGUAAGUCCAUCUCUGAAUGUUUGUAAAGCAUUCCUGCUUUAAGCUUAACGAGCGACUGCCUCUUGCUCUCCGGCUGCUACUUCAAUCGUGAAACUGCUUAAAUGAUCAGCUGAUCGGCUUUUCUGUCCUGAGUCCAUCUUUGUUUUUGGCCCACUUUGCACCAGAAAGAGGAAACCAGCAGCUGAACAACAGCAGCACGUUUAAGCUUGAUCAGCUGUUGUUAGAAUUUAUUUAAUAUUACUUUCUACACCAGGAUCUUUUUCUACGUAGCUGACGGCUGGUAACUGUGCAGGGGCGGAUCUAGCAAAGUUUAGCCAGGGGGGCCGAUAGGGCAUGAACAGGGAAAAGGGGGCACAAAGACAUACUUUUCUUUCUUAUUCUCAUUUAAAAUGUCGAGCUUUUAAUAAAUAAUUAUCUGACAGCCAAAGUUUUAAUUUGAUGUAAAAUGAAUAGAAGUCAAUUACUGUAUAUAGUGACUAUUAAGUCUAAUAUAUAUAUACCCUAGUAAGCUAUAGUACUUUUUCCUUUGGGAAGGUACCAUCUGUGCAGUCUGCAAUUUUGUUGAAGAAAGAUGUUGAAUCUAUUUAAUAUUUCUUGAAAAAUAAUUGAUUUCUGUGCAUUUUUUUUCACACUGCAUCAAAUUAAGGUUGAUUACGUCGAUUAAGCAUCAUGAGGUGGAGCGUGAGGGGUGGUUCCCUAUUUUUUAUUUAUUUAUUUUUGUUGUUGCUGGGAGUUGGAACCCUAUUAGUUAGGUUGCUUAAUAUUUAUGCUAAGUACUCUUUAAAAAACCAGAAUAGGGAGGAUGGUGUAGGUCUAAGUUUAUUAGAUUGAUCAGUAUUGCUGAACUAUGAAAUAUUUUUUUUGUAUACAGGUAUAACAGAAUAGCUUUAGUGUAGUUGUUGUUUUAAACUUGAGUAUGAACUUGCAGACUUGCAAAAUGCAGCAAGAUAUUUUAAAAAACAGUUUUGUUGAUUAAAAAACACUAUAUCGGAUUCAUAUCGGUAUCGGCAGAUAUCCAAAUUUAUGAUAUCGGUAUCGGUAUCGGACAUAAAAAAGUGGUAUCGUGCCAUCUCUAAUAUCUACGUGUGUGUGUAUGUAUAUUAU